rnacentral:lncRNA from 1 species
CAGCAGCUAUAUGCAACAGAAAUUGUUUAGUGGGGUCCAGUCCUAUAAUGUUAUGGCGUGCCGGUUUCUUGGCUUUGUCCUUUCCGCCAGAGGAACCUGACUCUGAUGGGCCACUGACAGGAGUAGAACAAAGCAUAGCAGUCACUGCAGCAUCAUGUCGUCUAUGAGCAGCUGCCACUGCCCCAGGAGGAAUAUCAGAAACAAGAUCACCACUCACAAC